rnacentral:rRNA from 1 species
UCGACCUGAGCUCAGGCAAGAUUACCCGCUGAACUUAAGCAUAUCA